rnacentral:tRNA from 1 species
AUUUAUAUAGUUUAAAUAAAAACAUUAUAUUUUCAAUAUAAAAUUAAAUUUUAUAUUAUUUUAUAAAUA